rnacentral:rRNA from 1 species
GACGAACGCUGGCGGCGUGCUUAACACAUGCAAGUCGAACGGAAAGGCCCUGCUUUUGUGGGGUGCUCGAGUGGCGAACGGGUGAGUAACACGUGAGUAACCUGCCCUUGACUUUGGGAUAACUUCAGGAAACUGGGUCUAAUACCGGAUAGGAGCUCCUGCUGCAUGGUGGGGGUUGGAAAGUUUCGGCGGUUGGGGAUGGACUCGCGGCUUAUCAGCUUGUUGGUGGGGUAGUGGCUUACCAAGGCUUUGACGGGUAGCCGGCCUGAGAGGGUGACCGGCCACAUUGGGACUGAGAUACGGCCCAGACUCCUACGGGAGGCAGCAGUGGGGAAUAUUGCACAAUGGGCGGAAGCCUGAUGCAGCAACGCCGCGUGCGGGAUGACGUCCUUCGGGUUGUAAACCGCUUUCGCCUGUGACGAAGCGUGAGUGACGGUAAUGGGUAAAGAAGCACCGGCUAACUACGUG